AGGACGAACGCUGGCGGCGUGCUUAACACAUGCAAGUCGAGCGGUAAGGCUCCUUCGGGAGUACACGAGCGGCGAACGGGUGAGUAACACGUGAGCAAUCUGCCCUUCACUUUGGGAUAACUUCCGGAAACGGAAGCUAAUACCGAAUACGACCAUCGCGGACAUCCGCUGAUGGUGGAAAGUUCCGGCGGUGAAGGAUGAGCUCGCGGCCUAUCAGCUUGUUGGUGAGGUAACGGCCCACCAAGGCGACGACGGGUAGCCGGCCUGAGAGGGUGACCGGCCACACUGGGACUGAGACACGGCCCAGACUCCUACGGGAGGCAGCAGUGGGGAAUAUUGGACAAUGGGCGAAAGCCUGAUCCAGCAACGCCGCGUGAGGGAUGACGGCCUUCGGGUUGUAACCUCUUUCAGCAGGACGAAGCGAAAGUGACGGUACUGCAGAGAAGCACCGGCCAACUACGUGCCAGCAGCCGCGGUAA
rnacentral:rRNA from 1 species